UUAAUUAUAGCUAAGCAAGCAAAAUCACUGUUAAUGAUUAGAUAAGUGUCAACUUUAAUUAAG
rnacentral:tRNA from 1 species